rnacentral:rRNA from 1 species
CGAACGCUGGCGGCAGGCUUAACACAUGCAAGUUGAACGGGAUUGCUUGGUGCUUGCACUGAGCGAUGAGAGUAGCGCACUGGUGAGUAACACGUGGGAACAUGCCUUUUGGUGGGGGACAACAGAGGGAAACUUCUGCUAAUACCGCAUAAGCCCUAAGGGGGAAAGAUUUAUUGCCGAAAGAUUGGCCCGCGGAAGAUUAGGUAGUUGGUGGGGUAAAGGCCUACCAAGCCGACGAUCUAUAGCUGGUCUGAGAGGACGAACAGCCACAUUGGAACUGAGACACGGUCCAGACUCCUACGGGAGGCAGCAGUGAGGAAUAUUGGGCAAUGGAGGAAACUCUGACCCAAGCCAUGCCGCGUGAGUGAAGAAGGUUUUCGAAUUGUAAAGCUCUUUCGGAUACGAGGAUGAUGACGGUAGUAUCUAAAGAAGCCCCGGCAAACUUCGUGCCAGCCGCAGC